UCAUGACUGUUUGAAUCAAACUCUCUGUGUAGCAUGCAGGCGCCCACCCUUAUAUCGGCUGUAGUGUUGUGGGGUUAUCUGUGCUUCAGCCAGUCAUCGCUGUGUUCAGACCCCCGCCGGAUUGUAAGAGGAGACCAAUUUUUAACGUGUUUCACUGGGGAGUCGGAUCUUUAACUGAAAUCCUAGCAGUGGCUGCCAUGUUUACAGGCAUUCGUCAGUCCUCGUUGCUCCUCCCUUUUCCACAAGCAGAAAAUGUUCUGAUUGGCUACGUGACUUGGUUGGCCUUUUUCCGGCUUCUUCUUUUGAUCAACAAACACUUUAAGUUCAGGAAAUCAAUGCAAUUAGAUGAGCAACCGAUUGUCUCCUCUGAACAACUACAGCUUAGUUCUAAGGACUCAUGCUUGAAGACUCUCCUGUUAGCUGCCCUGGCUUUGGGAAACACUGGCCUUCUGAUAGCUUUGCUGUCUACUAUUGCUGAACUUUGACAUUUUUAGUGCAAUAACCUAAGUAGAGAUUAUUAACAUUCUGUCAGUGCAGGGUUUUAAGUUCGGCCUGGCUCAUAAUGUAUGAUAAACAAUCCUUAAA